UACGUAGGGUGCAAGCGUUGUCCGGAAUUAUUGGGCGUAAAGAGCGUGUAGGCGGCCCGACCAGUCCGCUGUGAAAGUCCAGGGCUCAACCCUGGAAUGCCGGUGGAUACUGUCGGGCUAGAGUCCGGAAGGGGCGAGUGGAAUUCCUGGUGUAGCGGUGAAAUGCGCAGAUAUCAGGAGGAACACCAGUGGCGAAGGCGGCUAUCUGGACGGUUUCUGACGCUAAGACGCGAAAGCGUGGGGAGCAAACAGG
rnacentral:rRNA from 1 species